AAAUUGCGAAAAGUAAUGUGAAUUGCAGAAUUUCGUGAAUCAUCGAAUCUUUGAACGCAUAUUGCACUCUCUGGUCCUCCAGAGAGUAUGCCUGUUUGAGUAUCAUUUAACCCCUCACCCCCUCAAAGGGCGCAAGCACUGAGAGACGGGCGGAAGUGAGCGUCUGCCGCGUUUGCGGUGGUCGGUUGAAAUUGAGUGCAGCUGUGCUUGGCAUGCCUGUGCUUGCGUAUUAGUUCUCGCUAGAGAUUCCUUACGCAGCGUGUACGGGUAGCCUGCAGCGGCAUAACACCUAAACAAGAGCGCACUGGCAGUCGACAGGGCGUCUCAACCCAUUGAUCUCAAAUCAGGCAAGACUACCCGCUGAAUUUAA
rnacentral:misc_RNA from 1 species